GACGCUGGCGGCGUGCCUAAUACAUGCAAGUCGAGCGGACCGACGGGAGCUUGCUCCCUUAGGUCAGCGGCGGACGGGUGAGUAACACGUGGGUAACCUGCCUGUAAGACUGGGAUAACUCCGGGAAACCGGGGCUAAUACCGGAUGCUUGAUUGAACCGCAUGGUUCAAUUAUAAAAGGUGGCUUUUAGCUACCACUUACAGAUGGACCCGCGGCGCAUUAGCUAGUUGGUGAGGUAACGGCUCACCAAGGCGACGAUGCGUAGCCGACCUGAGAGGGUGAUCGGCCACACUGGGACUGAGACACGGCCCAGACUCCUACGGGAGGCAGCAGUAGGGAAUCUUCCGCAAUGGACGAAAGUCUGACGGAGCAAACCGCCGCGUGAGUGAUGAAGGUUUUCGGAUCGUAAAACUCUGUUGUUAGGGAAGAACAAGUACCGUUCGAAUAGGGCGGUACCUUGACGGUACCUAACCAGAAAGCCACGGCUAACUACGUGCCAGCAGCCGC
rnacentral:rRNA from 1 species